AAGUUUCACCAUGUAUCACUGAGUCAUUUCAUUCAGCAUUACCAUUGGUUUCUUAAAUCUCGUCUAUGAGUGAGAUCAUUGGGUACUCAUCCAAGCACCAUCUACUACAGUUUAAAAUUUAGUUUACAGGAAAGAGAAGGGCAGUAGGAAUUCAGAAGGAAAGAAAGAACUCUCAUUGAAGGUAAGGAGCUGGGACCUGGCUUGCCACGUCGCCCCCGAGCUGGCGCUUGAGUCUGCGCUCUGCGGGGCCUGGAGCCUCCCAGCCAUUCCAGCCGGGACGGACAGAGGGACAGUCCCCACCGCCACCGCCACCGCCCCCCCCCCCCCCCCAGCUCCCACAGGAGCCCCGCCCGGCCACCCGGUCGGUCCGCAAGGAGGAGCCCGCGAGGCGGCCGCGAGAGAUCGCAACCUAAUCAACGCAACGAGUGCCACCCCAGUAUGCUUCACUUCAGACUGUGUCCAGAGACUUCAGGUGUGGAAUGACAACCCUUCAGCUUCAUCACUCAGCCACAAGGUUCCAGAUGCCAGCAUGAUGCCGACCAGACUUCCCUGGACUGACGACCCCACCAAUGUGUCCUGGAGCCCCAAUUCCCCAGAGACCCACCCUACUAGGGAAAGAGAGAGGCAGGCUGGGAGUAUGGAUCACCAGUCAAUACCCAUGUUCAG